rnacentral:lncRNA from 1 species
GGACUUGGUGGACAGGGCACUUAGUACAUAGCAGAAGUAGCAGCACCACCUAGCAAGUAUUUGUGAAUGUACGUAUAUAUGAUUUCCAAAAAUACCUUGGCUGAUGGUUCAAGAGCUGGUGAAGUGGGUCACAAUAGAGAGCCUGAUAUUUUCCUAAAUAAAUGCCUCUUAUUUAAUCUUGCCUGUACUGUAUGAAGUAUAAUAUUUUAAGGUGCCUAUGUCUAUUUAAGUGUAUAUUUCUCAAGUUUUAUGUAGAAUGAAAACAGAUGUGUUUGUUACAUGAUUUUU